UACGUAGGCAGCGAGCGUUGUUCGGAGUUACUGGGCGUAAAGAGUGCGUAGGCGGUGACCUAAGUCUGGUGUGAAAUCUCCCGGCUCAACUGGGAGGGUGCGCCGGAAACUGGGUUGCUUGAGUGUGGGUGAGGCUAGCGGAAUUCCUGGUGUAGCGGUGAAAUGCGUAGAGAUCAGGAGGAACACCUGCGGUGUAGACGGCUGGCUGGACCACGACUGACGCUGAGGCACGAAAGCGUGGGGAGCAAACAGG
rnacentral:rRNA from 1 species